UAAUGAAGGCAAUUAAAGCAGUGUUUAGCUAAUUAUAAUCUAAAUACAAUUAAGAGACUAUUUAUUUGGGUUCGAGUUAAAAUGAUGAAGGUCUCGCCCAAAUUCUUUGUUCAUGCUAUUUUAGUAAUGAUAGUCAUGUGGUGUGCUGCAACAGGUUACUAAAAUAAAAUUCUUUAAAUUUAUAUGUAUUAUGUAUAUAAUAUUGUUUAAUAAUAGAAAUGUUUUAAAAAAAUCAAAAAAAAAAAUCCAACUUUUCAAUCAGCCAAUUACCAUGUACAAGUGUACAACUAUCUAAAAUCUUUCUUCCUCAAUUCUACACAAUCUAUAUUUCGUGCAUAUCAUUAGCUCAGCUCCAGCACUUGGAAACCAGAAACAACAUUCUAAUAUAUUAGAGACUUUUGGGGGCGAAAACAAGAGAAUUGCAACAAUAGUCUCGUCGCCUUCUAUGGAAAACGAUUUGAUGUGUGCAGCCGUAGGCGCGUAUUGUAACCCUACAUUCGGACCUAGUUGUUGCCCGGGUAGCACAUGCGCAAAUCCUGUACCUCUUACAGGUGGUGUGUGUGUGCAGCAGCAACUGGUAAACCUAUGAUUAAGGUAUAAUCUGCGCGAUUAUAUAUAUGUUCAACUGUUAUAUACGGAAGCUAAAUCAGGCCAAGUUAUUGUAUAAGAAUUGCCAUGAAGGUUGUAAUAUACAGUAAUUGAUGAAUUGUUGUUAUCGUGUGAUUGAAUUGGUUGGUGAAUAAUUAAUGAGUAUAAGUGGAUUUAUGCAAA